AACCUGGUAAUGCCAUUCCUACCCCUACC
rnacentral:piRNA from 1 species